AAAAUUAUGUAAAGGUUUAGGGUUUAAGGGUUAAGAGUAAAAGGGUUAAGGAUUUUUAGGAGUUCAGGGUUUAGGGUUUAAAGUUUUAGGAUUUUAGUGUUUAGGGUUUAGGGUUUAGCUUAAAUUCAUAUCUGGAUGGUGGUACAAAAUUUUUUUAAAAAAAUCUUACUCGGGCUAGAAUAUUUGAAUAUCAAAUUAGCUGUCACAACCUUGUUCAAGCACAAACCCAAAUCUAAGGUUUAUUUGGACCAGGCCUUAGAACGUAGCCUAUAAAACAACCAUUUUAUUGGCCUACGGGCCGGAUGGUCUCAUAUUUGUUUUGAGAAACUAACCCGGAUUGUAAUGCGGGCUUAUUUCGACGUGUCAAAGACUAUGCUAGAAUUAUUGUUUUUUUUACAAUAGUCCUUAAUGUUUACUAUUGAAUUGGAUGGGCCAUUCCAAUAUUUAUGGAAAAAAUUGAUAUUUCUGUACUAACAAUAACAUAUUGUACGACAAUGGUAUAAAUUAGUCUUUCUUUACAAAAAAAAUUAGAUGUAAAGAAAAGAUCUGAAAAAUGGAAUAUGCUCACGAAAAAAAUAGAAGGUGUCUCUUACCGAGAGGAAAAGUAGCGUAUAGAAUGCAUACUCAUAUCACAUAAUUAAUUUUAUUUUUCUAAUCUGACAUUUGAUGUGGUUUUUAUUGGCAUCACUGUGCUGGCCUCUCAAACAUUUUCAUUAUGACACUAUUAGAUGCAUUAGUAGCUAAAUAUGACUGCAAUAACACAAUGACAACAAGACAAAAAAUUAAGGCAUAAAAAUGUUGAAGAUUGAACUAGAGGACUUCAAAUGGUUUGUUUUUCCCAAAAUUCCUACUCAAUGAAUGAGGGUCCAAAAUGUUAGGUACUUAAUUCAAAUUUUGAGUAAAAGGCUAGAGAAUUGGAUCUCUUAUAUAAUUUACCCUGUUAUACCUCAGCAUAAAAUCAAAAUUUAUAUUCGGACCAAGCUUUGACCAAUAGCAGGCCGGGCCAUUGUAUGUUCCCAGAUGCAAGAGGAAGUUUUCCAAUUCAAUGAAUGACGUAUUACAUGAUAGUAGGAUGGACAGGGCCCUUUUUAGCCCGGAAACCUAUCUCAUUAUGAGAGUCGCACCAACCGACGAUAUCUUGUAGUUGGGCUAGGGCCUACCCAGCCCGUCCCAGCAGCAGAUUUGGCCACUCCCAGCCGGGGCGAACUUUUUCGGAUCCAUGCCAGGCCAGGUCGGACGGGGCCCGUACCGGCCGAGUUUUUUAUUUUAUAAAUUUUUAUAUUUAAAUUGUUUAAAAUAUAAUAUUUAUAGAUGUUUUUUACAAUCAGUAGGGAUAUUAUGGUUAAAAAUUUAAAACUUUUUUUUUAAAAAAAAUAGAACUUAAAAAUCAUUUGGACAAAAAUUUAAAGGUUAAAAUUCUUCCAAUAUAAUUUCAAAAAGUUUAUAAUUUUUUUAAAAUUUUUUGGUUAGAAAUUAAACAAUAAAAUUUCAAAAAUAUUUAAACAAAGGUUAAUUGCUAUUCACGCUCCGCUUAGUGUGGCAUGGGCUGGCCUAUUGCAUCCUAUACCUAAAGUUUUUAAUUUAAGUAAAAAAUUAGUAAAUAGAAGGGUUUUAUUUUGUGUGUAUUAUAUAUUGAAGUUCCAAGCAGUAAAAAAACUUUUUUGGAAAUAAUCCACGGAAAAUUUUUUGUUUCUAUUUUCUUUUUGUUUCUUGGUUAGGCUUUCGGCCAAAACCGGCUCAUAUUCGGCGUAGCCAGCCAUCAGGGAGUUUGGUCCGAUUUCUUUUUGGACGGGACUAAAUCUGAUAUCGCUUAAUUAUUAGGUCAGGCUUAAUUAUUAGUCGUCCUUGUGUUAAAAUUUCAAAUUUAUUUAUUUCAUUUUAUUUCGUGCUUUUUUCUUGUUCCACCGAUCAAAAAUUCAAUUAGAUUGCACAUUGACCAUUGAUGCCCCCUAACUCGCGGCAAAGACGACAUCUAUUCUUUUUUUUUCUACAUUAAAAGAGGGUUUGGGAGGACCAUAGGGCGACACGUGCCCCUUUCCCAAACCCUCAUUUAUUCUCUCUCUACUAUAUAUAUAAAUAAUAUAUAUAUAUAUAUAUAUAUAUAUAUAUAUAUAUAUAAUAUAAAAUUUUAAAUUUUGAUAUCAAAAUUNNNUUUUAUAUUUUAUAUUUUAAAUUCUAAAUUUCAAUUUUAACUUAUAAUAUUUAUUUCCAAUUUUGUAACUUCAAAAUUUAAAAUUUUAAAUCUCUAAACUCUAUGAUUUAAUUAAUUUAAUUUUAUUAAUAAUACGCGUAAUAAAUUGCAUAAUAAAAUCUAACAUAAUAGAUGCAAUUUAAAUCACGUAAAAUAUAAUUGUAUAAAAAAAUACAUAAUUUAAAUUUCAAGAGAAAAAAUUUAGAAAUAUAGUGUAUACGUGUAUAUAUAAAAUUAAUUUUAUUAAACAAUUUCUUCUACAAAUUUAUUUUUCUUCGAUUUAUUGCUUUUUUAAAAAUUAUUUUGAUAGAUUUAUCUCAAAUCCUUCUCAUAUAAAUUUUUAUAAAAUAAAUUGAUGUAUAAAUUUACUUGCGCAUAUACCAAUUUUAAUCUUUUAUUUAAAUAGAUUUAACUAUUAAACUAUUUUUAUAUAACUUUUAUUUAAUUAAUAAUUAGACUUAUAAAAAAAUAAAAUUUAUCAUAAAAAUAUUUUUAUAUCCGCAGCAUCGCGCGGGUAUUUCGCUAAUGUACUUAAUUUUUUAGUAAACUAAAACAAAUGAAUUUUUGAUUAAUACAAUUUCUAUAAGGAAGAGAUGCUCUGGAAUCCCAUGAGCCAAUUAGGCCCAACUACCUAAUUCAAACCUAACCUUCGUUUUUCAUAGAACGCCAUUUUGAAAUAAACCCCUUCUCUUCUUUUUGAUUGAGGUCCGGGUAUUUCUAAUUAAUCUAAUUUAAAUUAUUUUGUUUAAAUAAAUUGGAAUUUUGAUAAAAUAAAUAAGAGUAUUAAUUAAGUAAUUAAAUUUGAUGAAAUAGUUAAUUCUACCUUCGUUCUCGCAAUGUAAUUUUUGCUUGUUCUUGCUGUAAAAAUUUCGUAGUAUCAGCUAUAAAAACUCAUUGAUAACAUAUUAGAUGAGAAUGCUACGGGCUGGUUUCAUUCUUAGCCUAGAGGCCAUACACUCAGCCACAAAUAACGGGCUCGGUUGUUUGUAGAUUCUUCGGGCUAAGAAAACACUAAAAAGGUGAAGUGAAGGUUGGAUAAAAUAUAUUGACGCUCAGCCCAUUAUUCGUGGCCUAGAGUCCAUUAUUUUCUCAGGCCUAGGCUGAUGUUCAGCCCAUUUUGUUGUCGUUGGCUUGCCCAUAGAAUCAGGCCUAUGUUCCAUUGGUACGGGAAAAGUUCAGUAGUUUGGUUGGGGUCUGUCCGAAUCCAAUGGAUUGUUCCUUUUUGGUUAAAAAGAAAUUUAAGCCCAACUAUUUCAAAUAAUAAUAAUAAUUAUUAUUAACAUGUUAAAAUGUUAAAAAUCUAAUAAGUCAUGUCAAAAAAUUGUCAUUUGAGUCUGUAUUUAUUAUUUUUAUUUAAACAAGUCUUGAUAUAUUUUAAAUUUUUAACUUUCUAUAAAACUAUGAAAAUUCAAAUAUAGAAUGAGCAUUAAUCCAGAUGGACUGCCGAAAUCAAGUUCAAUAAUUUUUGCAGAAGGCCGAACCAUAGUUCAAAGAUUGGAGCUCAUAGGAUAGCUUCAAUAAAUACAGUCUGCAUCGAGCCCGUCCCUUAGCACUAGUUUCGUUCGGGGGUAAGGGGUGGAAUAACCCUUUAACUCCGAAGUUAUUUCCAAACACCCAAUUUGGAGGGUGGGGUUAGUUAAUCCCACUCCACUACUCAAAUCAAACAAAACACUAUUUUACCCACUAUUCUUCUUAUCCCACCUACUCAACCAAACACUAUUUUAUCUAUACUUUGACUAAACCCAAUUCUCAACCAAACACAAAAUUACUCUAACCUUAUCUUAACCCUGAAUUUACUCUAUCUAUGGAAUAACAAGUUUUUACUUAACUCCGAACCAAACAGUGGCUUAGGGACAAGCCCGGAAAGCUGUAGCUUUGGAGCGACAGCGGCUUGUUUUGAUGGUUAGAGGCCGGCCCUACCACAGACCGCCGAUCCAGCCCGUAAAUUUACGACUGCAUAUGCCCAAGCUUGGGAGGUUGAAGACUUUAGGCUUCCUACCUAUGGGCUGAAUAUCCGGCCUGGCCCAGAAACUGGGGCCAUAGAAUAGUGUCAUGGGUCGUGAAUGGUGAUCGGCUGAGCUUUUAGUAAGGGCAAUAGAAUAGUAUAGGUUGGUUUAGCCCAUUGAAAUGCAUAUCAGUGAUUAAGGAAUUGACCCAUUCAAAUGAAUUUUGCUAAAUGUUUUGAUCUCCACUUAUUAAUAAUGCCCAACAAAUUGAGCUGACAAGGAUGGAUUGACGGGCUGGGCCCAUUCUUAGCCACAGAGCCUUUAUGUGGAUGAAAAAAGCUCAGUGUUUAGGGUUUUUAGGGUUUAGGAUUUAGGGCUUAGGGUUUUAGGGUUUUAGGGUUUGGGGUUUGGGGUUUGGGGUUUAGGUUUUUAGGGUUUAGGGUUUAGGGUUUAGGGUUUAGGGUUUUAGGGUUUAGGGUUUAGGGUUUAGGGUUUAGGGUUUAGGGUUUAGGGUUUAGGGUUUAGGGGG
rnacentral:lncRNA from 1 species